UUGACCUCGGAUCAGGCAGGGAUACCCGCUGAACUUAAGCAUAUCAAUAAGCGGAGGAAAAGAAACCAACAGGGAUUGCCUCAGUAACGGCGAGUGAAGCGGCAACAGCUCAAAUUUGAAAUCUGGCUCUUUUAGGGUCCGAGUUGUAAUUUGUAGAGGAUGCUUCGGCGUGGGCUCCGGUCUAAGUUCCUUGGAACAGGACGUCAUAGAGGGUGAGAAUCCCGUAUGUGAUCUGUUGCCUUUGCCAUGUGAAGCUCCUUCGACGAGUCGAGUCGUUUGGGAAUGCAGCUCUAAAUGGGAGGUAAAUUUCUUCUAAAGCUAAAUACUGGCCAGAGACCGAUAGCGCACAAGUAGAGUGAUCGACAGAUGACCAGCACUUUGGACAGAGAGUCAAAAAGUACGUGAAAUCGUUGAACGGGAAU
rnacentral:rRNA from 1 species